rnacentral:lncRNA from 1 species
UCCAUUCUUACCUCUCACGACCCCAGAAUACCACAGCUUAAACCCAUCUACAUUCCUCGCCUUCGACACUUUGCACCUAGUCUCCUGGACACACGCUAUGUUAACCCUCUCUUCUGAAGAACCUGCCAACUCCAUGGACUUACCCGUCAGAGUGCCUAUGUUCCAUGACCCAAUCCUUAAUCUAUGGGCGUCCGCUACCCUCUUCCCACCCUUACCUCCCGCCCUACCCGC